rnacentral:rRNA from 1 species
UACGUAGGGCGCAAGCGUUGUCCGGAAUUAUUGGGCGUAAAGAGCUCGUAGGCGGCUUGUCACGUCGGGUGUGAAAGCCCGGGGCUUAACCCCGGGUCUGCAUUCGAUACGGGCAGGCUAGAGUGUGGUAGGGGAGAUCGGAAUUCCUGGUGUAGCGGUGGAAAAUGCGCAGAUAUCAGGAGGAACACCGGUGGCGAAGGCGGAUCUCUGGGCCAUUACUGACGCUGAGGAGCGAAAGCGUGGGGAGCGAAACAGGG